rnacentral:rRNA from 1 species
UACGUAGGGUGCAAGCGUUGUCCGGAAUUAUUGGGCGUAAAGAGCUCGUAGGCGGUCUGUCACGUCGGCUGUGAAAUCCCGAGGCUCAACCUCGGGUCUGCAGUCGAUACGGGCAAACUAGAGUAUUGCAGGGGAGACUGGAAUUCCUGGUGUAGCGGUGAAAUGCGCAGAUAUCAGGAGGAACACCGGUGGCGAAGGCGGGUCUCUGGGCAAUAACUGACGCUGAGGAGCGAAAGCUAGGGGAGCAAACGGG